CCUACGGGAGGCAGCAGUGGGGAAUAUUGCACAAUGGGGGAAACUCUGAUGCAGCGACGCCGCGUGAGUGAUGAAGUAUCUCGGUAUGUUAAGCUCUAUUAGUAGGGAAGAAAAUGACGGUACCUGUUUAAGUAGCUCCGGCUAACUACGUGCCAGCAGCCGCGGUAAUACGUAGGGUGCAAGCGUUAUCCGGAUUUACUGGGUGUAAAGGGAGCGUAGACGGCAGGACAAGUCUGGAGUGAAAUGUCGGGGCUUAACCCCGGAAUUGCUUUGGAAACUGUGCAGCUAGAGUGCAGUAGAGGUAAGUGGAAUUCCUAGUGUAGCGGUGAAAUGCGUAGAUAUUAGGAGGAACACCAGUGGCGAAGGCGGCUUACUGGACUGUAACUGACGUUGAGGCUCGAAAGCGUGGGGAGCAAACAGGAUUAGAUACCCUUGUAGUC
rnacentral:rRNA from 1 species